rnacentral:rRNA from 1 species
UACAGAGGUCUCAAGCGUUGUUCGGAUUCAUUGGGCGUAAAGGGUGCGUAGGUGGCGCUGUAAGGUCGGGUGUGAAAUUUCGGAGCUUAACUCCGAAAACUUGCAUUCGUAUACUGACGGUGCUUGAGGACUGGAGAGGAGACUAGGAAUUCAUGGUGAGAGUGAAAUGCGUAGAGAUCAGGAGGAACACCCGUAGCGAAGGCGGCACUCUGGGCCAAUGACUGAC